rnacentral:rRNA from 1 species
UACGUAGGGCGCAAGCGUUGUCCGGAAUUAUUGGGCGUAAAGAGCUCGUAGGCGGCUUGUCACGUCGGUUGUGAAAGCCCGGGGCUUAACCCCGGGUCUGCAGUCGAUACGGGCAGGCUAGAGUUCGGUAGGGGAGAUCGGAAUUCCUGGUGUAGCGGUGAAAUGCGCAGAUAUCAGGAGGAACACCGGUGGCGAAGGCGGCCCCCUGGUUGGAUACUGACGCUGAGACGCGAAAGCGUGGGGAGCAAACAGG